AAUUGUGAAAAAAAUGUGUUCCCUGUAUGUAGUAAUUUGAAUGUAUAUAUAUGGGAGGGUGUGUAAAAUUGCUUAUAUAUUGUAAUAUUAUUAAACAACUUAAAAGUUAAAACAGAAUUUAGAUAUGAAUAUUAUCCAAAUUUUAUGUACCUAUUUUGUAUUAAUAUUUUUUUAGUAAAUUUUUCGUGAUUAGAUUAGAUUACAUUAGAUUUCUUUAUUUGCGAGAACAUUGUUUUUUACAGAUCUAUUAGGUGAAGUAGAAAUGUUCGCCUUAUAUUCUAAAUCAUGCAAAAUUAUUAUUGGGUACAAGAUACAUCACAUUUAAUACAUACAUAUAAGUGCUAAUUAAUAAUAGAGUACAAAUUAUGUCAUUCUGUAAAUAAUUCUCCCAAAAAACGAUAUCGUUUAUCGACAUUAAGUAAUAAUAAUUCGUCAACUGUUACAAUUCAUUCUAUUACAAUAGUCCAACGUCAAUAGAUGCCAAUGUCAAAUAAUAAUCACAUACAAGUAACAAAUACAAUAAUAUAUAGAUAUAAAUUCAAUUUGUACAAUACGAGUAUGUCACAGCUUACAUUUAUGUCAAGUAUGAUACACUAAAUAUUGUCACGUUUAUACUCAAUAAAUUCUCUUAUCGUGUAGAAACACUUUUGUAAGAACCACUUCGACAACGUUUGUUUGAAUUGUUUAAGACCUAAUUCAUUAAAUUCUUUAGGGAUUGCAUUAUACAGUUUUGUACACAUAUAAUAACAACGUGUAAUUAUAAUUCUUUAUAUAUAUUUAUCAAAAUAUGUUAAUAUCUUCAUUUUCAGUGUGUCAUGCAGAACAGAAUGCAAUCUUUAACGCGGGAAAUGUGAAGAACUGCACCAUAUAUGUCAAAUUGCACCCAUGCAAUGUAUGCGCACAAUUGAUCGUUCAAUCAGGCAUCAAAAAAGUCAUAUAUGCUUCAGACUGUAAAGCCAGGAAAACCGAAUACAAAACUGCUAAAAAUAUUCUACAGCAGGCAGGUGUCGACAGUAUAAAAUUUAAGCCAAAAGACCCCAUGGUCUACAUAAAUUUCAAUGAGGACAACGACAAAGAAAAUAAAGCCGAAUAGUAAAUAACUGAGAGAUGACGACUUGCAUUAUAUUAAUUUGCAUUAUACAUUUAAUUAUUUCAUACUGCCACAUAAAUUACCGAUUUACGUGGCAGUAUGAUGUUUAUAGUGUUUUUUGUGUUAAAUUCGAGACUAUGGAGUCGAAUCUGAGGCGGCAUUUUUCUAAACCUAUGUCUAAAAUUAAAUAUUUAAUUUAUUAUCACAGCGAAAUCAUUAUUCUAAGGACAAAUUUAAACUAAAUUUAUAAUACAUAAAUAAAUCAAGUUUACGAUGGAUCAUAACAGCGAAAUUUUUAAAAUAUUAAGAGAGAAACAACGCUUCGGAAUCGGCCCUAUUAAUAAUGUAAUAAAUUAAACACAUUUCAACGGA